ACGUACGCUGGCGGCACGCCUAACACAUGCAAGUCGAACGCAGUAGCAAUACUGAGUGGCAAACGGGUGAGUAUAAUGUGGGAAUCUGCCUUUUGGUUUGGAAUAACACGAGGAAACUUGUGCUAAUACCGGAUAAGUCUUUACGGAGAAAGCUUUAUGCACCAUUGGAUGAGCCUGCACUUGAUUAGUUUGUUGGUAGGGUAAUGGCCUACCAAGACUGUGAUCAAUAGCUGAUUUGAGAGGAUGAUCAGCCACAUUGGGACUGAGACACGGCCCAAACUCCUACGGGAGGCAGCAGUGGGGAAUCUUGC
rnacentral:rRNA from 1 species